AUCACCCUCUCCAAAAAUUCAACCGUCACUUAUCUCAAUAUGGCUGGUAACUCAUAAUUUUUCUCUUCUUCUUCCACACAGGUGCAUAUCCCUGGUGAGAUUUUUCCCCUGAACUUCUCCUUGUCUUUUCCCUCUUCUUUUUCUCUCUUAUCUUCCACAAUUACUAUUUCUAGCAAGUUAUGUCAUGGGCUUUUUUAUUGUGUUUGAUUUAAUUUUCUGUUUUGGGUUUUUUGGGUUCUUGAUUUCUCUAUCUGUGCAUAUUUACGUGGGUUUGUGAAAAGGUAAUAGUAAGUGAAAGGUAGAUUUUUUUCCCAGGCAUCUUACAUGUCUAUUGUUUCUCUAUUUUUAUUUAUUCUUAAGUUCGUGACAUUCUUUCUUGAUUUUGCCUCAUUGGAAUUUGUAGGUUCAAUAGAGCUUUAUUGGUGGAAGAGCAAAAGAUUGUGAAGAAGGUUUUGAAGAUUUAGAAGGCCAAGGAAAAGCUAUCUGCUAAGAGCUAAAGAGUAAGUCAUACGCCAAUAUAGUUUUGGAUACUGUUAGUCAAGGAUGAUUGGAAUUGUAAUCGGAGGAUUCCAUGCUUAAAUUAUGUUCAUUUCUUG
rnacentral:lncRNA from 1 species